rnacentral:rRNA from 1 species
CUAGAGUUACAUAGAGGUAAGUGGAAUUCUUAGUGGAGCGGUGGAAUGCGUAGAUAUUAGGAAGAACACCAAUGGCGAAGGCAGCUUACUGGAUGUACACUGACGCUCAGGGACGAAAGCGUGGGGAGCAAACAGGAUUAGAUACCCUGGUAGUCCACGCCGUAAACGAUGAUCAUUAGCCGCUAGAAUAUUUAGUGGCGCAGCUAACGCAUUAAAUGAUCCGCCUGAGUAGUAUGCUCGCAAGAGUGAAACUUAAAGGAAUUGACGGGGACCCGCACAAGCGGUGGAGCAUGUGGUUUAAUUUGAAGAUACGCGUAGAACCUUACCCACUCUUGACAUCUUCCGCAAUACUAUGGAGACAUAGUGGAGGUUAACGGAAUGACAGAUGGUGCAUGGUUGUCGUCAGCUCGUGCCGUGAGGUGUUAGGUUAAGUCCUGCAACGAGCGCAACCCCUGUCUUUAGUUACUAACGGAUAAUGCCGAGGACUCUAGAGAGACUGACUGGGUAACCAGUAGGAAGGUGGGGACGACGUCAAAUCAUCAUGCCUCUUACGAGUGGGGCAACACACGUGCUACAAUGGACGGUACAAAGAGAAGCAAUAUGGUGACAUGGAGCAAACCUCAAAAAACCGUUCUCAGUUCGGAUUGAAGUCUGAAACUCGACUUCAUGAAGUUGGAAUCGCUAGUAAUCGUAGAUCAGCUACGCUACGGUGAAUACGUUCUCGGGUCUUGUACACACCGCCCGUC